CAAUAGCGUAUAUUAAAGCUGUUGCGGUUAAAAAGCUCGUAGUUGGAUUUCUGUCAAGGACAGCUGGUCCGCCCUCCGGGUGAGUACAUAGCUUGGUCUUGGCAUCUUGUUGGAAAUUGUUGCUGCGCUUGGUUGUGUGGUGCAGUUUCCAGCACAUUCACUUUGAGGAAAUUGGAGUGUUUCAAGCAGGCACAAGCCUUUGGACACAGUAGCAUGGAAUAAUUAGAUUGGGCUUUUGCUCCAACUUGUCGGUUCCUGGAGCUGAGGUGAGACUCAAUGGGGAUUGUUGGGGGCAUCUGAAUUUAGCCGUCAGAGGUGAAAUUCUUGGAUCUGCUAAAGACGGACAACUGCGAAAGCGUCUGCCCAGGAUGUUUUCAUUGA
rnacentral:rRNA from 1 species